rnacentral:rRNA from 1 species
GACGUAGGGACCGAGCGUUGUCCGGAUUCAUUGGGCGUAAAGAGCUCGUAGGCGGCUGUUCAAGUCGAACGUGAAAACUCGGAGCUCAACUCCGAGCCUGCGUUCGAUACUGGACGGCUAGAGUCUGGUAGGGGGGAUCUGGAAUUCCUGGUGUAGCGGUGGAAUGCGCAGAUAUCAGGAGGAACACCGGUGGCGAAGGCGGUCAUCUGGGCCAGUACUGACGCUGAGGAGCGAAAGCGUGGGGAGCGAACAGG